CGACUCUCGGCAACGGAUAUCUCGCGUCACGCAUCGAUGAAGAACGUAGCAAAAUGCGAUACUUGGUGUGAAUUGCAGAAUCCCGUGAACCAUCGAGUUUUUGAACGCAAGUUGCGCCCGAAGCCAUUUGGUUGAGGGCACGUCUGCCUGGGCGUCACG
rnacentral:rRNA from 1 species